UCUGGGGGCCCUCCUCCGUGACCCCUGAAUGCCCCCCACUUCCCUCAGAUCCACACCUCGCACCUGUCAGUGCCCCGCCCCGUCCUGCCCAGUCCCAGGGGAUCGACAGCGCCCGCCCGGGGCCUCUCCCAACCCCAGCGCCGUCCUCCGCGCGGUUCCCACUUGCUGCCCCCUCGCCACCACCCGUGCCCCUCGGCUCCCUGGGUCUUCAGAGGUCCCCCUCUCCUCCUCCCAAGACCGCAGUUCCCUCCCCUCCCUUCCCCUCUCCUCCUCUGCUGCUGAGCGACUUUUCCUGCUCCCUUGCAUUCUCACGCAGGCCGUUAAGUUUGUCUACCAUUGUCCCACUUGCCUGAAUAAAUUGCUUUCUGAAGGCAUGAAGACUUAGACAAGAAAAACAAGUGGAAAGAGGCUGGUCACAGAAAGCUGAGCAGUUCAAAACUCAUUAGGUGGGGAGCUAAGCAAGUUGGGACUUCCUGGCCGGCUCCUGGUCACAGCAGCAGGCGGGAGCAUCCGCCCAGAUCCC
ensembl:lncRNA